rnacentral:rRNA from 1 species
ACGGGUGAGUAAUACAUCGGAACGUAUCCUGGAGUGGGGGAUAGCCCGGCGAAAGCCGGAUUAAUACCGCAUACGCUCUGAGGCGGAAAGCGGGGGACCUUCGGGCCUCGCGCUCAAGGGGCGGCCGAUGGCGGAUUAGGUAGUUGGUGGGGUAAAGGCCUACCAAGCCGACGAUCCGUAGCUGGUCUGAGAGGACGACCAGCCACACUGGGACUGAGACACGGCCCAGACUCCUACGGGAGGCAGCAGUGGGGAAUUUUGGACAAUGGGGGCAACCCUGAUCCAGCAAUGCCGCGUGUGUGAAGAAGGCCUUCGGGUUGUAAAGCACUUUUGUCCGGAAAGAAAUCAUCGGGGCCAAUACCCCUGGUGGAUGACGGUACCGGAAGAAUAAGCACCGGCUAACUACGUGCCAGCAGCCGCGGUAAUACGUAGGGUGCGAGCGUUAAUCGGAAUUACUGGGCGUAAAGCGUGCGCAGGCGGUGCUGUAAGACCGAUGUGAAAUCCCCGGGCUUAACCUGGGAACUGCAUUGGUGACUGCAGCGCUGGAGUAUGGCAGAGGGGGGUGGAAUUCCACGU